GCUGGGGUGUCGGGUCCCCAAACUGCUAUCCCAACAGCCUGAAGUAAAAGCUGAACAUACACCUUUCCUGCUACUAUAAUGAAAGCGCUUGAUACUGUGCGAACUGUGAUCACCUGAGAAGGUAACCCUGAGUUCCCCGGAAUUAAGACAGAGAAGGCAGAGAAUGGGGAAAGAGAGGAGACACGUCUAUUCUGAACGGCCAAGAUUUCUGCCGGUCGCUAAUGCAGCAGCACAGCCAAGGAAGAUGUGAGACGUCGGACUGAGAUGGAGAGGACAGGUUGAGCAGAGCGGAAAGACUCGAAGGUGAGGAUGGAGCAAUCCGUGUGAGCGUCGGUGGUCCCGGCACAUAAAAAGUAGCAGCCAUUUCCCAUGUUUGAUGCAAAUCAAGGCGGCCUCCGGGGGAGUGACACCCCAGAAUGAAACUGAGUGGUCGAUCGCGUUUAUUAGGAGAAUGGAGAAAUGCUUGGCUUUUCCCUUCGAUAAAUGAAAAUGUAUGUCACCAGUAACCGACGUCUUACCCAAGAAGAGAGAGUGAAAAUCAUACCUACCGUACUGUUUUCCCCCUUACUUGUUGAGAGAGCAACAGGUACCUCUUUACACACUAUUUUAUUUGGGGCCCAAACCUAGAAUUGGGGUAAAAACCUACAUGAGCAAGCACACGUCAUUUGGGGGUGUAACUUGGGUGUCAACUCGAUCACAUGAAAGCUCAUAAAAAUGUCAUCUGCGGUGUAA